UGUCACUGUAUAAAAUUCAGGCAAGUGAAUAAAGAAAAUUUCACAUUAGGACUGAAUGAUUUCUAUACUGUAAUUUCAAAGCAUUCUAGACACUAAUUCUGCCAGCUGUGUGUGUAAAGUCUAAAGAGCAUUCUACUGUCCCUCAAGGGUACCAAGUGCCUCCUUUAGAAGCUUCUGAGCUUCUUCCCUUCUCCGCUUGAUAUCCUCUAUUGCUUGUUUACGUCGUUGUAUCUGAAGUUCUAGAAUGUGGAUAAGUGUGGCUCGAGCCUGGUGAGGACGCAGAGAAUUGAGUAGGUGGUGCAAGUUCUUGAAUAUCAGAGAUAUCUCUUCCACUCUCCUGGCAUAUUGCGAAGGGCGCUCUACAAGAACAUCAGCAAGCUCCAAUAUAUGUAGCUGCAAUUCUCUGUUAAGUGCUCUUAGUUCUUUCUUGAAAUCAACAUUAGGCCCUUUUGGGUAUAACUGACGCACGCCCUGCUCUUCCAAAUUUGGGAGUACAUCAUCAGUAGUGUAGUUGCUACCAAAGAGG
rnacentral:misc_RNA from 1 species